GUAGGGAAUCUUCCGCAAUGGACGAAAGUCUGACGGAGCAACGCCGCGUGAACGAAGAAGGCUUUCGGGUCGUAAAGUUCUGUUGUUAGGGAAGAACACGUACGAGAGUAACUGCUCGUACCUUGACGGUACCUAACCAGAAAGCCACGGCUAACUACGUGCCAGCAGCCGCGGUAAUACGUAGGUGGCAAGCGUUGUCCGGAAUUAUUGGGCGUAAAGCGCGCGCAGGUGGUUCUUUAAGUCUGAUGUGAAAGCCCACGGCUCAACCGUGGAGGGGCAUUGGAAACUGGGGAACUUGAGUGCAGAAGAGGAAAGUGGAAUUCCAAGUGUAGCGGUGAAAUGCGUAGAGAUUUGGAGGAACACCAGUGGCGAAGGCGACUUUCUGGUCUGUAACUGACACUGAGGCGCGAAAGCGUGGGGAGCAAACAGGAUUAGAUACCCCUGUAGUCC
rnacentral:rRNA from 1 species